rnacentral:rRNA from 1 species
GACGAACGCUGGCGGCAUGCCUAAUACAUGCAAGUCGAGCGAACGGAUGAAGUGCUUGCACUUCUGACGUUAGCGGCGAACGGGUGAGUAACACGUAAGGAAUCUACCUAUAAGCGGGGGAUAACAUUCGGAAACGGGUGCUAAUACCGCAUAAUAUCUUCUUCCGCAUGGAAGAAGAUUGAAAGACGGCUCUGCUUUCACUUAUAGAUGACCUUGCGGUGCAUUAGUUAGUUGGUGGGGUAACGGCCUACCAAGACGAUGAUGCAUAGCCGACCUGAGAGGGUGAUCGACCACAUUGGGACUGAGACACGGCCCAAACUCCGACGGGAGGCAGCAGUAGGGAAUCUUCCGCAAUGGGCGAAAGCCUGACGGAGCAAUGCCGCGUGAGUGAAGAAGGCCUUCGGGUCGUAAAACUCUGUUAUAAGAGAAGAACGAAUUGUAGAGUAACUGCUACAGUCUUGACGGUAUCUUAUCAGAAAGCCACGGCUAACUACGUGCCAGCAGCCGCGGUAA